GAAAUGCGAUAAGUGGUGUGAAUUGCAGAAUUCAGUGAAUCAUCGAAUCUUUGAACGCACAUUGCGCCCCUUGGUAUUCCAUGGGGCAUGCCUGUUCGAGCGUCAUUUGUACCCUCAAGCUCUGCUUGGUGUUGGGUGUUUGUCCCGUCUCCGCGCGUGGACUCGCCCCAAAGUGAUUGGCAGCCGGCGUACUGGUCCCGGAGCGCAGCACAUGUCGCGCAAACGAGUGCCUUGGUACGGCGGCGUCCAUAAGCCCCUCUCUCACGCUCUUGACCUCGGAUCAGGUAGGGAUACCCGCUGAACUUAAGC
rnacentral:misc_RNA from 1 species